rnacentral:rRNA from 1 species
GUGGGGAAUAUUGCACAAUGGGGGAAACCCUGAUGCAGCAACGCCGCGUGAAGGAAGACGGUUUUCGGAUUGUAAACUUCUAUCAAUAGGGACGAAGAAAGUGACUGUACCUAAAUAAGAAGCCCCGGCUAACUACGUGCCAGCAGCCGCGGUAAUACGUAGGGGGCAAGCGUUAUCCGGAAUUACUGGGUGUAAAGGGUGAGUAGGCGGCAUGGCAAGUAAGAUGUGAAAGCCCGAGGCUUAACCUCGGGAUUGCAUUUUAAACUGCUAAGCUAGAGUACAGGAGAGGAAAGCGGAAUUCCUAGUGUAGCGGUGAAAUGCGUAGAUAUUAGGAAGAACACCAGUGGCGAAGGCGGCUUUCUGGACUGGAAACUGACGCUGAGGCACGAAAGCGUGGGGAGCGAACAGGA